CCUACGGGAGGCAGCAGUGAGGAAUAUUGGUCAAUGGACGAGAGUCUGAACCAGCCAAGUAGCGUGAAGGAUGACUGCCCUAUGGGUUGUAAACUUCUUUUAUAUGGGAAUAAAAUGUUCCACGUGUGUGAUUUUGUAUGUAUCAUAUGAAUAAGGAUCGGCUAACUCCGUGCCAGCAGCCGCGGUAAUACGGAGGAUCCGAGCGUUAUCCGGAUUUAUUGGGUUUAAAGGGAGCGUAGGCGGUUUGUUAAGUUAGUUGUGAAAGUUUGCGGCUCAACCGUAACACUGCAGUUGAUACUGGCAGUCUAGAGUACAGUAGAGGUGGGCGGAAUGCGUGGUGUAGCGGUGAAAUGCUUAGAGAUCACGAAGAACACCGAUUGCGAAGGCAGCUCACUGGACUGCAACUGACACUGAGGCUCGAAAGUGUGGGUAUCAAACAGGAUUAGAUACCCCGGUAGUC
rnacentral:rRNA from 1 species